rfam:Triticum aestivum genome assembly, contig: Triticum_aestivum_CS42_TGACv1_scaffold_049584_1BS
AAAGUACUCCCUCCGUCCCAAAAUUCUUGUCUUAGAUUUGUCUAGAUACAGAUGCAUCAAGUCACAUUUUAGUAUUAGAUACAUCCGUAUCUAGACAAAUCUAAGACAAGAAUUUUGGGACGGAGGGAGUACUUC